UCCUUUUGAAUUUCAAACUUUUAGAAAUCAUGAACCUAAACCUUUGUUAUUUUUGUAUACAUUCAAACUUUGUCUGAGUUGCUGCAGAAGAGGCCUUAUCUGGAAUCUAAUUCCAUUCAAUCAAUCAUUACAACUGCAUGAAUCUUUAAACUUGAUCCAAAAUUUCACUCCUUUUCAUCAUUUUCCUUUCACCCAGAACCCAUAAAUAUUUACCAGUUAUAAAUGGAAUUUUUCAUGAUUCAACUACUGAUUUCGCCAUUAACAAAGUUCAUCUUAGAACACUUGACCACCCUUUACUGAUAAUCGGCUAACUAGAACUAACACAUGACGAACAUCUUCAUACAAACUUCACUCUUCUCUCAUGGUAUCAUCACUAACACAUUAACUCUUCCAAUAUUACAAUAUUACCGUUAACGAAGUAGUAUAUAAAGCUCCUUCUUUUUUUUUUUUUUUGGUUUACAGAUGAAGAGAAGUGUCAACAUCUUCAUCAGGGUCAGACCCAUCAAAUCUAUUCAUGGUGAAGGCUGG
rnacentral:lncRNA from 1 species